rnacentral:tRNA from 1 species
CCUUUGAUGGCCGAGAUAAGGCAUUAAGCUUUUAACUUAACUACAGUUCUAACUUCAAAGGC